rnacentral:rRNA from 1 species
UGGGGAAUUUUGGACAAUGGGCGAAAGCCUGAUCCAGCAAUGCCGCGUGUGUGAAGAAGGCCUUCGGGUUGUAAAGCACUUUUGUCCGGAAAGAAAUCCUUGGCUCUAAUACAGUCGGGGGAUGACGGUACCGGAAGAAUAAGCACCGGCUAACUACGUGCCAGCAGCCGCGGUAAUACGUAGGGUGCAAGCGUUAAUCGGAAUUACUGGGCGUAAAGCGUGCGCAGGCGGUUUGCUAAGACCGAUGUGAAAUCCCCGGGCUCAACCUGGGAACUGCAUUGGUGACUGGCAGGCUAGAGUAUGGCAGAGGGGGGUAGAAUUCCACGUGUAGCAGUGAAAUGCGUAGAGAUGUGGAGGAAUACCGAUGGCGAAGGCAGCCCCCUGGGCCAAUACUGACGCUCAUGCACGAAAGCGUGGGGAGCAAACAGGAUUAGAUACCCUGGUAGUCCACGCCCUAAACGAUGUCAACUAGUUGUUGGGGGAUUCAUUUCCUUAGUAACGUAGCUAACGCGUGAAGUUGACCGCCUGGGGAGUACGGUCGCAAGAUUAAAACUCAAAUGAAUUGACGGGGUCAUAGCUGUUUCC